AUGGAGACACAAACGGUGUGGUAUGUGGCUGUUUUCCUCUUGGUUGCAGCCAAGGAAUUUAUGGAGAUGGGAAAAACAGUCAGACUGAAAUGCAUCCAAACCUAUGACCAUGAUGCUAUGCUUUGGUAUCAGCAUCACUGGAAGAUGGGGCUUCAGCUCCUCUAUUAUGCUAGAAUUAAUCUUUCUGGCAUGGAGGAGAAAGCAACCAAUUCUGACAGAUUCAUAGCCGAGGGACUGACGAAUGAUGCUUUUAACUUAAACAUCUCCUCUGUCAAGAUGGAGGAUUCAGCCACGUAUUUUUCUGCUAGCAGCAUACGCAUCUUCUUCGGU